CCUACGGGGGGCUGCAGUGAGGAAUAUUGGUCAAUGGACGAGAGUCUGAACCAGCCAAGUAGCGUGAAGGAUGACUGCCCUAUGGGUUGUAAACUUCUUUUAUAUGGGAAUAAAACGUUCCACGUGUGGGAUUUUGUAUGUACCAUAUGAAUAAGGAUCGGCUAACUCCGUGCCAGCAGCCGCGGUAAUACGGAGGAUCCGAGCGUUAUCCGGAUUUAUUGGGUUUAAAGGGAGCGUAGGUGGGUUGUUAAGUCAGUUGUGAAAGUUUGCGGCUCAACCGUAAAAUUGCAGUUGAUACUGGCAGUCUUGAGUACAGUAGAGGUGGGCGGAAUUCGUGGUGUAGCGGUGAAAUGCUUAGAUAUCACGAAGAACUCCGAUUGCGAAGGCAGUUCACUGGACUGCAACUGACACUGAGGCUCGAAAGUGUGGGUAUCAAACAGGAUUAGAUACCCUUGUAGUC
rnacentral:rRNA from 1 species